rnacentral:rRNA from 1 species
AUAUUGGACAAUGGGGGCAACCCUGAUCCAGCCAUGCCGCGUGUGUGAAGAAGGUCUUCGGAUUUUAAAGCACUUUAAGUUAGGAGGAAGGGCUUUAGGCUAAUACCCUGAAGUUUUGACGUUACCAACAGAAUAAGCAGCGGCUAACUCUGUGCCAGCAGCCGCGGUAAGACAGAGGGUGCAAGCGUUCAUCGGAAUGACUGGGCGUAAAGCGAGCGUAGGUGGUUCAGUAAGAUGGGUGUGAAGUCCCCGGGCUUAACCUGGGAACUGCUUUCAUAACUGCUGAGCUAGAGUACGGUAGAGGGUAGUGGAAUUUCCUGUGUAGCGGUGAAAUGCGUAAAUAUAGGAAGGAACACCAGUGGCGAAGGCGACUACCUGGACUGAUACUGACACUGAAGUGCGAAAGCGUGGGGAGAAAAC